GGAGCUUCAUGUGUACCUAAGGCCUUCCAAAGUCACAUCUUUUGAAAUACAUGGUCUUAGUAGCAUCCUUUUGAAACGAAGUCUCAAAGCUGACAAGCAGUGAUUUAUCACAGAACUGAAAGAGGACAUACAGGUGGAUUGUGUGUGCUUCUGACAUCUGAAAAUUUCCACAGUCACCUUCACAAAUAGGAUCUGAAGACUUUAGAAGUCCAGCAGUUAAACUCUUUCUGUGGUGAACAGAUUGAGACAUCUGACCUGGAGCUGCCAAAGCUGGGCUUUGAGCCUGACCUGAAUUUGUCACCAUGCUGAGCAAGCACCCACCCAUGAGCUGGUACUCGCACCAAGUUUUCUCAAAGUAACAUUCAAAUCAUCUUUGUUUUGAUUAAAAACGGAGCCCAAAGCACUAAUAUGAUGGCAGAAGGCUAUCUCAAGAAGAAAUGCAAGAUUUGGUAAGAUGCUGGUGUGAAUACUUGGCCACCAAGCAUGAGCCAGCACAGAGAGCAGGGAGAGCUUUGAAAUUAUUCCACAGAGCAAGUAAAAGCAAUUUUUUUUUUCCUUCUUUU